UCACUUUUCUUUUUUUAAUCAUUAGCCUUAUGCAGCUCUCAAAGCUAGAGAAUAUCUUGAUAAGCCUGCAAUACAUGAGACAAUGGUGAAGGUUAGCGCUUAUCUGCUUGGAGAAUACAGCCAUCUUUUGGCCAGACGACCUGGGUGUAGCCCAAAGGACAUUUUUGUCAUUAUACAUGAGAAGCUUCCUACUGUAUCGACUCCAACAAUAUCCAUUCUUCUCUCAACAUACGCAAAGAUUUUGAUGCACUCUCAACCACCAGAUCCCGAAUUACAAA